GCCCCGCAGUGGCGCACACCAAAAUGCAAACUUGGAGACGUUCCCUAACAGGAGCCGGGGCUUCUCCCGUUUUUGAUCAGACGGGAGAAGG
rnacentral:tRNA from 1 species